UUUGCAACUAAACUUUUCACGAUAUUGAUCCAAUAUGUGCUAAAGGGCAACAAGCGAAUUUUACUUAUAGUAAAUAUAGUAUUUUGGGGUUGGAAUUUUUGUUUCCGUAUCUGAUUACACCGGAAGUGUCGAAAUCCUCAAACGAUUGCAUGAUCAUUUUCCUAGAAAAUCCUGAAUAAAGUUAAUUCGUUGUCUAUCUCACUGUGGUUAUUUCAAAAUUGUGCCUUCUGAAAAAAUUAAGGUUAAGGGGAACGAAAAGCGAAAUGAUUUCAGUCCACUCAUUUACAAUGCACUGGAAGGCAACAGGAAAGCUAAUGCUGCGAGCUGAAAAUGCAACGAUUUACUGAGGAAAGGAAGUAAAGCUAACAGUUAAGAGAGACGAAGGACUGUGAACCAUGAGCGGAAGACAAAAUGAGUAUGGAAGUUUGGAAAGCUUGGGAAAGUGCAAGAAACAACCCCUAGUACAGCAUGAAAAGACAAGGCAGUCAUCUCAGAAUGAUAAAUAUAAUGCCCUUGUGGACUGAAAAGCCAAAAAGUCAAAAAAGAU